GACGAACGCUGGCGGCGUGCUUAACACAUGCAAGUCGAACGGAAAGGCCCUGCUUUUGUGGGGUGCUCGAGUGGCGAACGGGUGAGUAACACGUGAGUAACCUGCCCUUUACUUUGGGAUAACUUCAGGAAACUGGGGCUAAUACCGGAUAGGAGCUCCUGCUGCAUGGUGGGGGUUGGAAAGUUUCGGCGGUUGGGGAUGGACUCGCGGCUUAUCAGCUUGUUGGUGGGGUAGUGGCUUACCAAGGCUUUGACGGGUAGCCGGCCUGAGAGGGUGACCGGCCACAUUGGGACUGAGAUACGGCGCAGACUCCUACGGGAGGCAGCAGUGGGGAAUAUUGCACAAUGGGCGGAAGCCUGAUGCAGCAACGCCGCGUGCGGGAUGACGGCUUUCGGGUUGUAAACCGCUUUCGCCUGUGACGAAGCGUGAGUGACGGUAAUGGGUAAAGAAGCACCGGCUAACUACGUG
rnacentral:rRNA from 1 species